GAGGCGUUGCGCUUCCGCUCGCCUCCAGUCCCUGGGUGAAGCCCAGGCUGCAGUGCAUCCCAGUGCCACGGUGCAUCCCGGUGGUGCUGUGGGCCCACCAGAGCCUGGAGAAGAGGAUGAGGAAGCAGCCAGCUGUGCGCAGCAGGAAAGGAAAAGGUCUGCUUAAAGCCCACCAAAGCCAUCGUGACAAUUUCCCACUGAAGGCUCCACGUCAGCCCCGUGCCACAGGGACAGGGCUCUGUUCCAGGGCUGAUCCCAUGAGCCAGGAAGGCUUGCACUGCCCUUUGCGCCCGGGGCCGUGGCUCCCCACUCUUACUGCGCUGCACAGGACCCCCCUCCAGCGCCCAACGCGAAGCUGCUGUGCUCUGCUGCCACGGUAGGUGCCCGGGCUGCCUGCCCUACGCUGCCCUGUACGGCCCUAUAUGGCCCUGCACUGCCCCAUACUGCCCUGCAGUGGGGAAAUCUUGGUGGUAGAGGGAUGGUUGGACUGGAUGAUCUUGGAGCUCAUUUCCAAACUUGGUGACUCUAUGAAUCGAUGAUUCUAGGAUUCUAUACUGCCCUGUGCUGCCCUGUACUGCUCUAUACGGCCCUAUACAGCCCUGCACUGCCCUGUAGUGGGGAAAUCUUGGUGGUAGGUGGAUGGUUGGACUGGAUGAUCUUGGAGCUCAUUUCAAACCUUGGUGGUAGGUGGAUGGUUGGACUGGAUGAUCUUGGAGCUCAUUUCCAACCUUGGUGAUUCUACGCAACCAUGAUUCUAGGAUUCUAUACUGCCCUAUAUACUGCUCUUUGCUACCCUAUACAGCCCUAUACAGCCCUAUACAGCCCUAUACAGCCCUAUACAGACCUAUACAGCCCUAUACUGCCCUGUGCUGCAGGGUUCCCUCUCCAGUUUGCUCCAUGUGCAUCCCCACUGCAGCGUGUGCGGUGCUGGGGCUCGUGGGAGGUCCCGCCAAGAGCACAGAGUUUGCACACCCUGUAAUUCAGGUUGCAGUCAACAGCAACCGCUCACGAAUCCAGGUUGUAUUUAGCAAGCGGUUUGGGCUGGGGAAAAAAAAAAUGAAAAAAAAGUGAAACGCUGAAAAGUUUCAUUUUGACAUUUUCAAAAUGAAACC
rnacentral:lncRNA from 1 species